rnacentral:rRNA from 1 species
GACCCGUCUUGAAACACGGACCAAGGAGUUUAGCGUAUGCGCGAGUCAUUGAGUGUUGAAACUCAAAGGCGUAAUGAAAGUGAAUCGAAAGUGAUAUGCGAUCCCUUGCACUUCGGUGGUUGGGAGCAGCAUAGCCCCGUUCCAAUCGCUUGCGAUGGGGCGGAGGUAGAGCGUAUUCGCUGAGACCCGAAAGAUGGUGAACUAUUCCUGAGCUGGAUGAAGCCAGAUGAAAUNCUGGUGGAAUUCCGAAUCGGUCUGACUUGCANUUCCUACGUNUGAUUGGGUNUNGGGGCNAAANACUAAUCGAACCCCCUNUUANCUGGUUCCUUCCGA